CCUACGGGUGGCAGCAGUGGGGAAUAUUGCACAAUGGGCGAAAGCCUGAUGCAGCAACGCCGCGUGAGUGAGGAAGUAUUUCGGUUUGUAAACCUCUAUUAGCAGGGAAUAGAAAAGAAGGUACCUGAGAAAGAAGCCACGGCUAACUACGUGCCAGCAGCCGCGGUAAUACGUAGGUGGCAAGCGUUAUCCGGAUUUACUGGGUGUAAAGGGAGCGUAGACGGAAAGGCAAGUCAGCUGUGAAAACCAAGGGCUCAACCAUGAGACUGCUUUUGAAACUGUCAAACUAGAGUACAGUAGAGGUAAGAGGAAUUCCGAGUGUAGCGGUGAAAUGCGUAGAUAUUAGGAGGAACACCGGUGGCGAAGGCGUCUAACUGGACUGAAACUGACGUUGAGGCUCGAAAGCGUGGGGAGCAAACAGGAUUAGAUACCCCUGUAGUC
rnacentral:rRNA from 1 species